CCCGCUGAACUUAAGCAUAUCAGUAAGCGGAGGAAAAGAAAACAACCGUGAUUCCCUUAGUAACGGCGAGUGAAGCGGGAAGAGCCCAAAUUUAAAAUCUCUUGGCCUCGCCAAGCGAAUUGUAGUUUCAAGACACGUCUUCGGGUUGCGCUUGCAGGGGGUCAAAGUCCGUUGGAAAGCGGCGCCUUGGAGGGUGAUAGCCCCGUGUGAUCCCUAUGCGCCGUCCAUAUGAUACGUGCUCAAAGAGUCGCAUAGUUUGAGAAUGCUGUGCAAAAUGGGUGGUAAGUACCAUCUAAGGCUAAAUACUGGCGGGAGACCGAUAGCGAACAAGUACCGUGAGGGAAAGAUGAAAAGAACUUUGAAAAGAGAGUUAAAAGUAUGUGAAAUUGUCAAAAGGGAAACGUUUGGAUCCAGUAUUGGGCCGGCGCGAAUCAGCCUUCGGGUGCACUUUGCGCUAGCGCCCGGGUCAGCAUCGGUUCGGUUUGGGGUAAAAAGCUAUGCGGGAGGUGGCCCCCCUCGGGGGGUGUUAUAACCGUGCAGCUAUGCUCUGGACCGGACCGAGGACCGCAGCUCUGCUUUUUGGGGGAUCCUUGCCGCCCCGAUUGGAACGUCCUUGGACAACUUGUUGGCCAUCGACCCCUCCCUUUGGGCCCGGUUUUUGGUACCACUUCUGAGCUUGGGAUGCUGGCGAAAUGGUUCCAAACGACCCGUCUUGAAACACGG
rnacentral:rRNA from 1 species